rnacentral:rRNA from 1 species
UACGUAGGGGGCAAGCGUUGUCCGGAUUUAUUGGGCGUAAAGAGCGUGUAGGCGGCUUUGCAAGUCCGUUGUGAAAACUCGAGGCUCAACCUCGAGACGCCGGUGGAAACUGCAAAGCUAGAGUCCGGAAGAGGAGAAUGGAAUUCCUGGUGUAGCGGUGAAAUGCGCAGAUAUCAGGAAGAACACCCGUGGCUAAGGCGGUUCUCUAGUACGGUACUGACGCUGAGACGCGAAAGCGUGGGGAGCGAACAGG